rnacentral:rRNA from 1 species
UGGGGGAUUUUGGACAAUGGGCGAAAGCCUGAUCCAGCAAUGCCGCGUGAGUGAAGAAGGCCUUCGGGUUGUAAAGCUCUUUUGUCAGGGAAGAAACGGUGAAAGCUAAUAUCUUUUGCUAAUGACGGUACCUGAAGAAUAAGCACCGGCUAACUACGUGCCAGCAGCCGCGGUAAUACGUAGGGUGCAAGCGUUAAUCGGAGUUACUGGGCGUAAAGCGUGCGCAGGCGGUUUUUGUAAGUCUGAUGUGAAAUCCCCGGGCUCAACCUGGGAAUUGCAUUGGAGACUGCAAGGCUAGAAUCUGGCAGAGGGGGGUAGAAUUCCACGUGUAGCAGUGAAAUGCGUGAUAUGUGGAGGAACACCGAUGGCGAAGGCAGCCCCCCUGGGUCAAGGAUUGACGCUCAUGCACGAAAGCGUGGGGAGCAAACAGGAUUAGAUACCCUGGUAGUCCACGCCCUAAACGAUGUCUACUAGUUGUCGGGUCUUAAUUGACUUGGUAACGCAGCUAACGCGUGAAGUAGACCGCCUGGGGGAGUAC